rnacentral:ncRNA from 2 species
GUGUUGUAUGAAAGGAGAGAAGGUUAGCAC